ACCAAUACUUAGAGGUUUUAAAAAUUGGGUAACAUAAGACAAAUCUGAUCAGGAGCUGCAAAAAAUAUUUGUUUAUUUAUUUACUAAUAUUUUCCCAGGUAAAUCCCUUCAGCAAAGCUGAUAUAAAUAGGUGACAUGGAUAACAAAAUUAUAAGGGAAAAGAAAAAUGUAUCCCCUUCCAUUGACAUUUGGGGCUAAACAUGAUUUUUUUUUCAGUGACAGGAAAGGAUUAUUGCUGCCGGGGAGGAGGCUGAAGCUGCACUUUUACGAAGAAGAGAGAACAUAGACCGAAGAAAUGUUCGAGAGGAGCAGGGAUAGGGAAAGACAACGUUUGUUAGAAAUUGAAGAGAGACAGAAAAAAUAGACGUGACCAGCAAGACA